rnacentral:lncRNA from 1 species
AGUCACAUGACUAAAUUAUGUCUAUGGGCUCAUAACAAAAUAACGUCAGCCAAUCAGAAGACGUGUUACAUCCAAAAUUAAAUUAUUUGGAAGUAUCAUUGUAAUUUAAAGUUUAAAGUGCAUAAAGUGGAAAAGAUUUCAAAGAUAAAAAGAUCUAUAGAACAGAAAAUGGAUUUAAGCAUUGGCAAAUCAUAAAGAAUGCAUACAGGACAAUUGAAGCAAUGAUAUACAGUGCUAAUAAUGUUUAUUUAUAUUCGAGGCCAAACAUUUAACCAGUAUUUAAAUUUAAAAGACCCAGAACCUGUGAUACUGUUUUGUUUUUUAUUGUUGGGAUUCUUUUGAAAUGGAUAAUGUUAAAAUGUGUAUUUAUUUAAGUUGUCAUUGCUCUGAUUCCAACACAUAAUUUUAUGUCUCGCUGGGGCAAAAUUCCUGAUACAACAAUAAGUUGGAAACUCACAUCGACACUGUUGCAUUCUACAAACCAUUCACACAUUUCACAUAGUUGCAAAAACUAACCCAUGCUUGAAAAUCUUAUAUUUAUGGUUUUCUGAAUAACAUUUUUGAAAGUCAUAGAUAAAUAUCAUUUAUAAUUAUUAAACAUAUUAGGUGUCAUAUUAAUUUUAAGUUGAUUUAAAAUUUCUUGUUCACAGUCAAU